rnacentral:rRNA from 1 species
UACGUAGGGUGCAAGCGUUAUCCGGAAUUAUUGGGCGUAAAGAGCUCGUAGGCGGUUUGUCGCGUCUGCUGUGAAAACCCGAGGCUCAACCUCGGGCCUGCAGUGGGUACGGGCAGACUAGAGUGCGGUAGGGGAGAUUGGAAUUCCAGGUGUAGCGGUGAAAUGCGUAGAUAUCAGGAAGAACACCCGUGGCUAAGGCGGUUCUCUAGUACGGUACUGACGCUGAGACGCGAAAGCGUGGGGAGCGAACAGG